GCACUCACUUUGGCAGCACAUAUACUAAAAUUAGAAUGAUAGAGUAGAGUAGAUUAGCAUGGCCCUUGUGCAAGGCUGACAUGCAAAUUCAUUAUGCAUUCCAUAUUUUU
rnacentral:snRNA from 1 species